GCGAAUGGCUCAUUAAAUCAGCUAUGGUUUACUGGACCGUACCCGUUAAAUGGAUAACUGUAAUAACUCUAGAGCUAAUACAUGCAAUUAUGCCCUGACUCGCAAGGGAAGGGGUGCACUUAUUAGAUCAGAAGCCAACCGGGCGUCGGUCGCAAGACUGGCGUCUGUUGUCGUUCUGGUGACUCUGGAUAAUUGUUACAGAUCGCAGUCGGCCAUGAGUCGGCGACGGGUCCUUCAAAUGUCUGCCCUAUCAACUUUCGAUGGUAGGUGACCUGCCUACCAUGGUGAUAACGGGUAACGGGGAAUCAGGGUUCGAUUCCGGAGAGGGAGCCUGAGAAACGGCUACCACUUCCAAGGGAGGCAGCAGGCGCGCAAAUUACCCACUCCCAGCACUGGGAGGUGGUGACGAAAAAUACCGAUGCGGGACUCCUAAACGAGGCUCCGUAAUCGGAAUGAGUUGACUAUAAAUCCUUUAACGAGGAUCAAUUGGAGGGCAAGUCUGGUGCCAGCAGCCGCGGUAACUCCAGCUCCAAUAGCGUAUAUUAAAGUUGCUGCAGUUAAAAAGCUCGUAGUUGGAUCUCGGUAUCAUUGUUGCCCGCCGGCCUUAGAGGUGCUGGCCUAUCGAUGCAUGGGCGAGCCUGUGUGUCAUAGAGUCGGCUGCCUCGGUCGGGUUGGUGUGGCGGUGGUGACACCUUUCAGCCAUGUCUGUGGUGAAAUAUCCGCAGGUGUAGGCGAGUGUCAGAUGGUGCCCUGCAACUGUGGGGCUCGUCGGCUUGUCUGCAUGCCUAUGGGUGCCCUUCAAAAGGUGUCUGUGGGCGGAUGGCACGUUUACUUUGAACAAAUUUGAGUGCUCAAACCAGGCCGAUGCUGCCUGAAAAGUUUUGCAUGGAAUAAUGGAAUAGGACUUCGGUUCUAUUUCGUUGGUUUUCGGAUCCGAAGUAAUGAUCAAAAGAGACAGGCGGGGACGUUUGUAUGGCUGCGCUAGAGGUGAAAUUCUUGGACCGUAGCCAGACAAACUAAAGCGAAAGCAUUCGUCAAGCAUGUUUUCAUUGGCCAUGAGCGAAAGUCAGAGGCUCGAAGACGAUCAGAUACCGUCCUAGUUCUGACCAUAAACGAUGCCAACUGACGAUCCGUGAUGGUAGCAUCUAAACCUUCCUCACGGGCAGUCCCCGGGAAACCAUUAAGUCUAUGGUUCCGGGGGAAGUAUGGUUGCAAAGCUGAAACUUAAAGGAAUUGACGGAAGGGCACCACCAGGAGUGGAGCCUGCGGCUUAAUUUGACUCAACACGGGAAAACUCACCCGGGCCGGACACUAUGAGGAUUGACAGAUUGAAAGCUCUUUCUUGAUUUGGUGGUUGGUGGUGCAUGGCCGUUCUUAGUUGGUGGAGCGAUUUGUCUGGUUAAUUCCGAUAACGAACGAGACUCCAGCCUGCUAAUUAGUGCUCCUGUCAGUUGUUCUUGUGCAGGCAGGCGUUCACCGAAUCCGCACCGUAAAGUCGGACCUCGAUAGUGGGGCGUGUUUGUCAGUAUGUCCAGUGCCAAGCGUAUGCGCGGCAUUGGGCAUGCUACUGCAUGCCUGCCCGCUUGGGGAAUGGCUUGGGUGGAUGGAGUGGCGUCCGCUUCCGAGUACGGCGCGGGUGUCUACUUCUUAGAGGGACCAGCGGGCGAAGCCGCACGAAAUUGAGCAAUAACAGGUCUGUGAUGCCCUUAGAUGUCCGGGGCCGCACGCGCGCUACAAUGACGGUGGCAACGAGUCUGACCUUCUGGCCCGAAAGGGUUGGGUAAACUGGUCAAUCACCGUCAUGACAGGGAUCGGGGCUUGGAAUUGUUUCCCGUGAACGAGGAAUUCCUAGUAAGUGCAAGUCAUAAGCUUGCGCUGAUUACGUCCCUGCCCUUUGUACACACCGCCCGUCGCUACUACCGAUUGAAUGGUUUAGUAAGGUCCUUGGAUCGGCGCCAUUGAAGCCGCAAGGCUCAGGCGGCGCUGAGAAGACGACCGAACUUGAUCAUUUAGAGGAAGUAAAAGUCGUAAACAAG
rnacentral:rRNA from 1 species